CACGCCGUAAACGAUGAUCACUAUGAGUAUGGAGAUUCGACCCUCUGUGCUCAGUAGCUAACGCGUUAAGUGAUCCGCCUGGGGAGUACGAGCGCAAGCUUAAAACUCAAAGGAAUUGACGGGGACCCGCACAAGCAGAGGAGUAUGGGGUUUAAUUCGACGCUAAGCGAAGAACCUUACCGAGGCUUGACAUCUUGGGAAGUUUUGGGAAACCAUUACGUGCCUUCGGGAACCCAAUGACAGAUGC
rnacentral:rRNA from 1 species